AUGGCCAAGUGGUAAGGCAGAGGCCUGCAAAGCCUUUACCCCCGGUUCAAAUCCGGGU
rnacentral:tRNA from 1 species